GUUGAUAAUAAUUUCAGGUCGAGCCUGCCCACUGAAUUAGUUAAAUGGCCGCGGUAUAUUGACUGUGCAAAGGUAGCAUAAUCACUAGUUUUUUAAUUGAAAGCUUGAAUGAAGGGUUUGAUGAAAAGAUAGCUGUCUCUGUAAAAAUUUAUUAAAAUUUUAUUUUUAAGUUAAAAAGCUUAAAUUUACAUAAAAGACGAGAAGACCCUAUAGAGUUUUAUAUACSUAGGUAAUUUGAAAUAUUAGGAAUAGUUUAUUUAAAUUAUUUAGGUGUAUUUAGUUGGGGAGAUUAAAAAAUUAGAUUAACUUUUUUUAAUUGAAAUAUUUAUUUAUAAAUUUGUGAUCCUAAAAUUUAGAUUAAAAGAUUAAAUUACCUUAGGGAUAACAGCGUAAUUUUUUUUAGAGUUCUUAUCGGAAAAAAAGUUUGCGACCUCGAUGUUGGAUUAAAAUUAAUUGUUGGUGUAGAAGCUAAUAAAUUAGGUCUGUUCGACCUUUAGAAUUUUACAUGAUCUGAGUUUAGACCGGCGUA
rnacentral:rRNA from 1 species